CCAGACUCCUACGGGAGGCAGCAGUGGGGGGUAUUGCACAAUGGGGGAAGCCCUGAUGCAGCGACGCCGCGUGAGUGAAGAAGCAUUUCGGUGUGUAAAGCUCUAUCAGCAGGGAAGAAGAAUGACGGUACCUGACUAAGAAGCCCCGGCUAACUACGUGCCAGCAGCCGCGGUAAUACGUAGGGGGCAAGCGUUAUCCGGAUUUAUUGGGUUUAAAGGGCGCGCAGGCGGAGGCACAAGUCAGCGGUAAAAUCGCGGGGCUCAACCCCGCUCCGCCGUUGAAACUGUGUCCCUUGAGUGCGCGAAGGGUAGGCGGAAUGCGUGGUGUAGCGGUGAGAUGCAUAGAUAUCACGCAGAACUCCGAUCGCGAAGGCAGCCUACCGGCGCGCUACUGACGCUCAUGCACGAAAGCGUGGGUAUCGAACAGGAUUAGAUACCCGGGUAAC
rnacentral:rRNA from 1 species